CAAGUCCCACCCAUCUUGCUUCCCUAUUGGCCAACAGUACUGUAUUGACAUAUACACAGGACUUCCCCAUCAGUGGAUGCCUCUGGCCUGAGACACAGACAGACAGUUCCUGCAGAGACGGAGUAUGCAGAGGACGCCCCUGGGUCCCCAGGCCUUGGAGACUGCACAGCAUCAAAGUUACAUCCCUGGAGGAAGCAUCUCCGAUGAUGGCUGAGCAAGGCACUGGUCUGUACAUAUAGCAGAAUGUCAUUAGGAAUUACUUUAUUCCUACUUUUUUUUGAACAGUAGUACUUGGCUUUACUGGAGGCCCCUGGGCUAUCUCGUCCCAUGUUCUUGGUCUCCCAAGCAGUGUUGGGAAUGGACCCUGCAUCAAAUCUGACGUCGGUUGGUCACUCCUGUUAAGAGAAGCUUUCCUUGAGUGGAGCCUUCCCACCAGCCUGGUUCCAGAACCGCAUCAGUCCCAAAUAAACACACAGGAGGCUAUAUUCAUUA